rnacentral:rRNA from 1 species
AACGAACGCUGGCGGCAUGCCUAACACAUGCAAGUCGAACGAGACCUUCGGGUCUAGUGGCGCACGGGUGCGUAACGCGUGGGAAUCUACCCUUGGGUUCGGAAUAACAGUUAGAAAUGACUGCUAAUACCGGAUGAUGACGUAAGUCCAAAGAUUUAUCGCCCAAGGAUGAGCCCGCGUAAGAUUAGCUUGUUGGUGGGGUAAUGGCCUACCAAGGCGACGAUCUUUAGCUGGGCUGAGAGGAUGAUCAGCCACACUGGGACUGAGACACGGCCCAGACUCCUACGGGAGGCAGCAGUGGGGAAUAUGGGACAAUGGGCGAAAGCCUGAUCCAGCAAUGCCGCGUGAGUGAUGAAGGCCUUAGGGUUGUAAAGCUCUUUACCAGGGAUGAUAAUGACAGUACCUGGAGAAUAAGCUCCGGCUAACUCCGUGCCAGCCGCCGCCGUAA